rnacentral:tRNA from 1 species
GAGGGUAUAGUUCAAGUGGUAGAGCACAUGCUUAGCAUGCACAAGGUCCUGGGUUCAAUCCCCAGUACUGCCU